UAGCGGUCACUGGGGACUGAGGCCAUCUGUCCGGCAGCUCUUUGGCCCUCGGUUAUUCGGCUCCAGUCUCAGUUCUGACAAGUGCCCAGAAACAUGAGGUCCCUGAUUUCUCUCAGUCUGCUGCUGGCUGUCUUCUCCCGUGUCCAGGCCGAGGUGGUGCUGACACAGCCGCCGUCUCUAACCGGGAAACCUGGCCAUCCCCUGAGACUGACCUGUAAAACCAGUGGGUUUAAUCUCGGCAGCUACAGCAUGAGCUGGGUCCGGCAGGUUCCCGGGAAGGGGCUGGAAUGGCUCCUCCAUUAUUACAGCCCAACUAGUUCCUACAAUGCUUUCGCGCCUGGGAUUGAAGACCGUGUCACUGUCAUCAAAGAGAAUUCCAAUAACAUCUUCGAUUUGAUCAUCAAAAGCCCGAGAGUGGACGACACCGCCAUCUAUUACUGUGCGAGAGGGUCACAGUGAGAGGAAACGGGGCUGAACUCCU